UGGGGAAUCUUGCACAAUGGGGGAAACCUUGAUGCAGCGACGCCGCGUGAACGAUGAAGCCCUUCGGGGUGUAAAGUUCUUUCGGCAGGGACGAUAAUGACGGUACCUGCAGAAGCAGCUGCGGCUAACUACGUGCCAGCAGCCGCGGUAAUACGUAGGCAGCAAGCGUUGUUCGGAAUUACUGGGCGUAAAGAGUGCGUAGGCGGUUGGCUAAGUUUGGUGUGAAAUCUCCCGGCUCAACUGGGAGGGUGCGCCGAAAACCGGCUGGCUAGAGUGCGGGAGAGGAUAGUGGAAUUCCUGGUGUAGCGGUGAAAUGCGUAGAUAUCAGGAGGAACACCUGAGGUGUAGACGGCUAUCUGGACCGUAACUGACGCUGAGGCACGAAAGCGUGGGGAGCAAACAG
rnacentral:rRNA from 1 species